rnacentral:rRNA from 1 species
CCCUGCCAUUUGUACACACCGCCCGUCGCUCCUACCGAUUUCGAGUGAUCCGGUGAACCUUCUGGACUGCGUGGGUCUUCAUGGCCUGUGCGGGAAGUUAAGUAAACCUUAUCACUUAGAGGAAGGAAAAGUCG